rnacentral:tmRNA from 1 species
GGGGGCGACAUGGUUUCGACGGGGCUCAGGUCUGAGUGAGGGUAGCGGGUCGAGAUCCCGGCCGUUCUCGUUAAACAGGCUGGAAAAACACAACUGGCAAGCAAGAACUUGCUCUGGCCGCCUAACCUAGUUUAGGCGCCUGUCGCGCCUCCCGUGUCCGCCGGGGAG